GAUGAAGAACGCAGCGAAAUGCGAUAAGUAGUGUGAAUUGCAGAAUUCAGUGAAUCAUCGAAUCUUUGAACGCACAUUGCGCCCUUUGGUAUUCCAAAGGGCAUGCCUGUUCGAGCGUCAUUUGUACCCUCAAGCUUUGCUUGGUGUUGGGCGUCUUGUCUCUAGCUUUGCUGGAGACUCGCCUUAAAGUAAUUGGCAGCCGGCCUACUGGUUUCGGAGCGCAGCACAAGUCGCACUCUCUAUCAGCAAAGGUCUAGCAUCCAUUAAGCCUUUUUUUCAACUUUUGACCUCGGAUCAGGUAGGGAUACCCGCUGAACCUAAGCAUAUCAAUAAGCGGAGGA
rnacentral:misc_RNA from 1 species